rnacentral:rRNA from 1 species
AUUGAACGCUGGCGGCAGGCUUAACACAUGCAAGUCGAACGAGUGGCGGACGGGUGAGUAAUGUAUGGGGAUCUGCCUGAUGGAGGGGGAUAACUACUGGAAACGGUAGCUAAUACCGCAUACCAUCAGAUGAACCCAUAUGGGAUUAGCUUGUAGGUGGGGUAACGGCUCACCUAGGCGACGAUCCCUAGCUGGUCUGAGAGGAUGACCAGCCACACUGGGACUGAGACACGGCCCAGACUCCUACGGGAGGCAGCAGUGGGGAAUAUUGGACAAUGGGCGCAAGCCUGAUGCAGCCAUGCCGCGUGUAUGAAGAAGGCCUUCGGGUUGUAAAGUACUUUCAGUCGGGAGGCGUUACCGACAGAAGAAGCACCGGCUAACUCCGUGCCAGCCGCCGCGGUAAUUC